GCCCGGGUGGCUCAGUCGGUUAAGCGUCUGACUUCAGCUCAGGUCACGAUCUCACGGUUUGUGAGUUCGAGCCCCGCAUCAGGCU
rnacentral:tRNA from 1 species